rnacentral:lncRNA from 1 species
CUGACAUUCCAGGAGGGGACCUGCGGGACACUCCCAGGCCACGAGCAGGCCUCCCUGGCUGUCCUCCCGCUGGAACGGCCUCAGCGGCCCGUCGGGGGGGACCGGCGAUCGCGGCCAAGCCUAGGAAGCUCGCCUGCAAGGGGGGGACAGGCGGCCGGGCCUGUAAAGUUUAGGACACAAGUGGGGACGGCGCGCGCUCCUGGCUUACAGGAUCCCGCAGGAACUCUGGAUCGCCCUGCAAUAAAAACACGGAGCAUCCUGUUCGCGGCUGAGAAGGGCUUUGAGGGUCUCCCGGGGGGCGGCUUUGAAAGGCUGCCCAAACCGCGGCCCUGAUCGCCGAGGCGCGUGGCUGACGAGCGCGCAAAGCCUGCCCGGGCCCCGCGCUCUCCCGGACCCCACGCGGGGUGAAGAGUGUCCCUGCGGAGAGCCGCGCUGCUUCCCCCCUCCCCGGCCUGCCCCCUGCGGGCAGGUGUCCCACCAUCCGGGAGGACGUCCGUUUGCACAGCAGCCUCCAGCGGCUGGACACCCAGGGCACCGCGGGAUGCUCUUCGCCCCGGAAUUUUGGCAAAAGGGUGUGCACGUUGCCGUGAUAAUCAUGUUUUACAUUCAUCACGCUGCUUUCAUCCAGAUGGGUUUAAGCAUUCUACAAGCUUUAUUAAGUAAGUAGAACAAGUUAUAACAGUUGAACUUGUCUAUCAUGGAGCGUGGUUUCUGGGUGAAUCAUGGUUUUUUGUUUUUUGUUUUGGCCACACACAGCAAUGGGGUAUCGAUCAGGGACGGCGUGGAGCCGAGGGUUUCAGCCGAGCCUCCGGGAGGCCAGGCUUUGGUCUGAACUGGAAGAGCACAAAGGCCAGCGGUGUCCUGUGGUGCGCGGAGCGCGCGAGGGCCAAGAGCACAGCAAAGACAGAGUUGCCAUCGUCCACACAACUUGACGGAAGGCCAGGCCAGCAGGGAGAUUGUGAUGCAGGAAAGUCAACUCGGCGGGGACUUCCAGCUGUUCCUUUCCACACCCGGGGCCCACUGGCUCGAUCUGCCCUCAGCUCUCCCUCUGUUGCCGUGUUUUUGGGGUGCCUCCUACUGCCGGGACCAUGCCCUCCUCCCUAAAGUCCACACUCCCAAGCACUGAGGGGGGCAGUCGUGCUUCCUCCCCACCCCCACGGUCCCACUGGUGCCCCCGUCCUGACAUCUUCCCUGUUUAUGAAUGAGGCCGCAACAAAGGCAGCCUUCAACACUUCUUGCGCACACCACAGUCGGGCCCUGGUGUCUCCCACACCCCUUCCCCGGGAAGGAUUCUGACUUUCUCUUGCACGGUGAUCGUCGGAGUCUCCUAUUAUUAUUUUUCCUAAAACACAGUAGCAAUCUGCCUUCAAAGAUGAAGCCAAAUGGCCAGCUCUAGAGACAAGGAUGUCCUGCCACUUUACAUGGCAGCCCUACCUCUCCAGCUUGUAGGGGCUGGCUGUCCCCUUGCCCACGCCGCCCAUCACACCAGGGUCCCCCUCCCCGAGUCACGUCAGUGUUCCCUCAUGGCUGGACCACAGCCCGGGGUCCCUCAACCCGCCCGACUGCUGCUGUUGUC